UCAGCAGUUAGUUGUGAUUCCGGUGCUCUCGUGAGAGUGAGUGCGCGUGCGUCCUUCUACUCUGCCGUCUUGAACCAAUCUCUGUUAGCAUCCUUGCUCUUGAUGCAUUGAAUCCUUGCUCUUUCUUUCAACUGAGAUAAACUCUUCUGCUCAUUUUGCUCAUCUCUCUCUGUCUCUGUUAAAUUAGGUGAAACGGUUACCUCUGGCGGUCUUGAAGAGGUGUCUUUAUGUGGGACGCGCCCCUGGUACAGUUUGUGUGUGUCCAGUGGCUUUGGUGGGGGAGCUGAAUUUGACUGGAACCUAAGCCAUGUACUCUCUCACCGUGUGCUUAGCAGCUGUCAACUUGCUGGAAAGUCCUCGUGGUUGGCCUCUCAUACAGUGCACGUCUGUGCCUUGCCCAGGGAUCUGCAAAUAGUAGUUCCACACAGGAGCUCUGCAAGUUCCUGACAACCAUGAGUCAGAGGAGAUCAUCUGAGCCAUGUCAUGGAGAAGGCAGAGUAGGGCCCUCUGAGAAUCAGUACCUCCACUGAAGCUACCAACAAGCUGGCAGAAUAAUGGCAGAACCAACGUCUUUGGAAUGCUGGAUUCAGAUCAGAUACUUACAGAAACCAGGGGAAGGUGCUGGGAAAACUCGGUGAGUGCAGUAGCACUGUUCUGUGCUUGCCUGCCACCCCAGCUCCCAGCUGCCAGCAGAGACCAUGCCCCUGGUGUGGGUUGCCGGUUCUGGGCACAAGGGGUGGGGUGGCCAUAGGGACCUUGCUCUUCUAAAUGCACAAAUGUCGUUGUGCAUUUGACCUGUCUGGUAGUGACCUGAGGGGCCGGCACAGAGCCUUCCCUUGCUUUGCUCUUUCAGCUCCAGCCACUUCCAGGAGGCACGAAUCAAAAGCAUUUAAAGACUACCCAUGCUAUCCACGGGCAGCUGGGGCGAGCAGCAGACGGAACAACCACCUAGACGGGAGGAGGCUACGGAGGAGGGUCCUUGGGGGAACGAGGGCUUCAAAGGCUGCCUAGUGCAUUUGCACGCCAAACCCUGACACGAGCUCAGAAGAGUACUGACAACACUGACACUUACACCACUCCUUGGGCUCUAAGGUGAAAGCUGGAGUGGAGUCGCAGGCAGCCUGGCUGAGCACUGAAGGAGCAGCCCAAAACCAACCUGCAAAGUGCGGGAGGAGAUCUUUUUGGUGCUGGGUGUUUAAGGAAAUCUCGUAACUAUAUAAAUAAAUCUUGGUGUGUUACUUCUCUUUUUAUUUAUAUGAUUUAAAAGACAAGUGCAUAAAACUAAUUAUAAAUCUAAUGUUAAUGGGGAUACAGUAUUCUAAGAUGUAACUUGUGAUGGCAACAGUAACAGCAUCAAGUGGGAGAGAGGACAGAGCUGUACAGGAGCAGGGUUUUUGCGAAGCUGUUGGAACCAGUAUCAAUUCAAACUAUAUUGUUAUCAAUUCAGGAUGUUAAUUAUAGUCAUCAGAAUAACCACUAAGAAAAAACUUAAAAACACACAGAAGGUGGGAAUUGAAAUGAUACAUUAGCAAAACCAAAUCAAACACAAAAGGAAACAGUUUUGGAAAAAAUUGGGGGGAAAAGAUGAAACUCGUAGAAAACAAAUGGAAAUAAGAUAGAAAUAGGUACUCCCUAAUUUAGAAGUUGCUUUAUAUUUAAGCAGAUUAAAUUCACCAGAGGUACUGGCAACAUGGAUUAUAAAAGCAUAAGCCAAUUAUAUACUAUCUACAAGCGACUCAUUUUAGAGCCAAAGUCACAAACAGAUUGAAAGUACGGAAACAUGUUUUCCACGCAUUAAUAACCAGUAGAAAGCUGGCAUGAUAUGUAUAUAGCUGAUUCACUGUUAUACAGCAGAAACUAACAAACACACCAUUGUAAAGCAAUUAUACUCUAAUAAAGAUGUUUAAAAAACUAAUAAAAUAAAAUGAAAACAAAACAAAAAAAGAAAGCUGGCAUGGCUACUAGUAUCAGGAAAUAGACUCUUAAGUCACAACCUGUUACAGGAGACCAAAAAGGGGCAUUAUAUACUGAUAAAGUCAAUCCAUCAAAAAGACAUUGCAGUUAUAAAGAUGCACACACCAAACAGCAGGACCCACCCCCACCCAAAUCCAGGAAGCAAAGUUUGACAGAACUGAAGGGAGAAACAGACCUACAUUAACAGCUGAAGACCUCAACACCCCAAUUUUAAUACUGGGCACACAGAACAUCUAGACAGAAGAAUAAGGAAACAGAGGACCUGAACCCCACAUACCAGCCAGACCUAACAGACACGCACAGAACUCUCCACCCACGACCACAGAGCACACUCCUCUCAGUGCACUGGAACAUUCUCCAGGAUAGACCACAUGUUAGGCCACCAAACAAGUCUCCAUAAAUUAAGAAAGAUUAAAAUCUUACGAAAUAUCUUCUCUAACCAAAUGCAAUAAAGCUAGAGAUCCAUAAAGAAGGAAAAGUGAAAGAUUCCAAAUAUGUGGAAAUUAAACACCAUAGUCUUAAGACACCCAAAUCAAAAAUGAAACCACGAGGAAAAUUAGAAAACACUUUGAGACAAAGGAAAACAAAAACACAGCAUACCAAAAUUUAAGGAAUGUAGCAAAAACAAUGGUCAGACUUGUUGACAAAAAUUCAAUCAACAAUCAAAUGAAGAAAGAAAAAAGGGAAUUUUAUUCAAGCCAAACUGAGGAUUCUGAGAACUGUUCCACCUGUUUAGAAAUCCAAGGCACAGUCAGACAUUUUUGAGACGAAGGAUCGUGUAUAUAACAAUGACAUACUGGUAUUUUAUAGAAACGUCACCACAAUACAUAGUCCAGGUAAGCACGUACAAAGGAGCAGCGUGUCACCGUGACCCCAACAGAGCUGGGAAAGAGUGCUAUUCUUUCAAGAAGUUACACUGCUAGCAUCAGAAGGAAAGGAACAGUGAUCUUUGUGGUUGAGCGGCCGCUCCGCCUUUGAGGAGCUCUGGUUAAUGUGCAAUGCGACACACACUGCAUGUUAGGGGGGCAUGGAGGAGACCUGGACACACACACAAGAAGAAUUUUUAAAUCUUUCUUGUCCUGCCUUAAAAUAUAAAUUUCAUUUCACCACACUUUAGUGCCUACAUUAAAAAAGAAAGAUUGCAAAUGAGUAACCUAACGCUACCCCUUUAGGAACUAAGGAAAGGAAGAGCAAACUCAACUCAAUGCCAGUAAACUGAGAAAAUAGUCAAGAUUAGAAGCACAGAUAAAACAGAGCACAGAAAAAGAGAUGCAACAAAACCAAACAUUGGUGCCUUGAAGAGCUCAACAAAAUUGACACACCUCUUUCCAGACUGAUUCAGAAAAAAAA